rnacentral:lncRNA from 1 species
CUCGAACAGCCUGGCAGUCGACUACAGAUAGCCUGGGAUUAACCUCCCAAUUUUUUUAAGCGGUGCCGACGACAAGGUAGGCCUACUUUACGUAACCACCCUCAGAGCGUGCUCCACCUCUGUAUCCUCCUCCCCGAGUGUACUCCAACCUCGGAAUCACCAUCAGAGCGUGCGCCACCUCUGAAUCCCCCUCCCCGAGCGUGCUUAUACCACGGAAUCCUCGCCAGAAGUGGACUCCCAUCUCGGAACCGUCUCCAGAGUGGCCUCCACCUCUGCUACUCGUCUCUUCGGAGUGUGCUUAACAGCCAUGUGCGGCCGAACCUCCGAAGACAGGAAGGAAGGAAGAGAGCCGCCCGGCCCCACCGAAGGC